UUUACCUACAAAAAAAUAUAUUCUCCCUAUAUAACUAUUUUUCCCCCGAUUUCUAAAAAUCAAGAGUGCCCCUAAUUUUGUUCUGGCAUUUUUUCUUUCUUUCAUACCGGUUUCUCACGGUGCCUCUCAACUAUUCAUCAAUUUUAUCACGCAUCUGAAGGGUAUCUUCAAUGAAAUCACUUCUUUCGAUUUGUCCAUUUCUCCAUGUUAGCAAUGGCUAAGGACCCUGAGGUUGCUUUCUUUAAGAAACUGGAGGGCCGUCAACCUUGUGAGGUCUCAGAACUAAAAGAUGGCACUCACAUAUUCGCUGUUUAUGGAGAUAAUUUCUUUAAGCCAGCUACUUAUAUAAUUGAGGCUCUUUGUGCCGAGUUAUAUGAGGAUACUACUGUUAAGCUCAAGGAAAUCUAGGCUCAGAUUUUGAGGAAGAGAAAUGAGCUUCGGCAGUUUGAAAUUGAAUAUAGAAAGGUUUACUUCUGGACAAUAUUUAUCAUCGGUGAUCGAUUGUUUCAGAUAUGCUCAUUGUACUAUUUUCCAUGUGAUGUUAAUAUGCAUUGGCAUACUUCCAGGAAGUAACCAACAUAUACAACCAAGAGAAGUUGUCUGUUGAUGAGAUGCUGAAACAAAGAGACAACAUCCACUCUUCAUUCACAGUUUCAAGGUCAAUUGCUAAUCUAAGUGGCAGUGGGAGCGGGCAUUUCAGUAAUGGAAGUAGCAGUAAAGUCCUUGGCGAAGAUUAUAAAACUGAUAGUCCAGGGGAAGAUGGAAGCUCAGACUCCAAAGACAAGUCAUCAAAGAAACGAUGGUUCAACCUUAACCUUAAAGGAUCAGAUAAAAAAGAACUAAAAAGUUAACGAUUAUCUAUAUUCUAUACUUGAUCCCAAGUCUUAGAGUUCUUGCAUUGCUAUUAAACGCCAAGGGGGCAGGUAUUGCGAUACCGAAACAAGUCUCUUCAUAUAUUCUUUGUUCUAUUUGUUAGUUUGUGCUUUUCCCAGUCUUUAGGGAAGUGAUGUUUGAAAUAUAUAAAGGUGGUGUUUGUAUGCAUGAUAACAACAAUGAAGAUUACUAAGCUGAUGAGAUUGUAGUAUAAUACAAUGAUGCUCAAAAUUGUUGUUGACGCUCUCUUUAAAAGCAUAGUGCUUAUCACUCUGAUUUUGCAGGAAUCCUCAUGUUUAUAUUCUUGUGUCGAUCUCUUCUUAUGCAUAUGUUACUGAGCCAUUGUUGAUGCAAAUAUUGCUGACCCAUUUUUGAUUGCAGUUGAUCAGAUUUUUCACCUCGCUUGUCCUGCUUCCCCUAUUUUUUAUGACAAUUAUUACAAACGUAAUUGGAAUGCUCAAUAUUUCAACUGUAUUGCACGUUCUCAAAGCUCAAUUUGACUGCAACAAGUACCUGAACCUUUGUCAAGGUUUUAUGAAGUUAUGUCAUAGUUUUCUUUCAACGCACUUACCUCAUUAUCAUGACCAUUUUGAUAUUUGCUCCUCUCCUUCCUCAAGGAGUUUUACGUUUGGAAUCGAUUAGUCUAUCACGCUUCUAGCAUAUCAUAGACUCUGUCCUUCAAGGCCUAUUUAUUGGAGUAUUUGCAGCUUAAUUAAAAUAUUGAGUC